CCACACGCUCUCCCUUUCUCUCUCUCUCCUUCUCUCUCUCUCUCGUCCGUCUGUUCUCUGCUCUCUCAUUCGCUCCGCCGGCUCGACGCCGGCUGUCAGUUCAUUUGCCGCGGCAGAGCAACAACUGGCUUCUUCAGCGCUGGGAGCGAAGAGGGGAAGGGGUGAGCGGAGGGAAGAGUGGAAGAAGAAAAAGUGGUAGAGGACGAGCAGCAAAGGAGUGGAGAAAGAGAGGAGGAGAAGAUCUUUUGUUAAACAUCCCUCUGCAGCAGCAUCAGCACCAGCGCCGCUCCCGCUGCUGGAUCCUCCGUCUCCUGCCGGGAUCUGCCUCCUCCUUCUCUUCAGGGAGCUCUUCCUGGAACUGGGAGGGGGAGGGAGACCAGCACCUCCCAGCUUGCUGCGGACCCUCGGCAAGGCAUCAGGAGGAAGGAAGGAGUGAAGGGGAGGGAAUUUUAGAGGAGGCCGUGAGGAGAGCGGAGGAGAGGCAACACCCUGGGUUACAGGAGCAGAGAAGAAGAAGAGAGGAUCUCUUUCUGCCAGGGCAGGGCCGAGUAGCAGGAACACACGUCAGCGCUGGAUGACGACUUCCAGGAGGCGGGGGCAGCGCAGCAAGGCCGCGGCCCAGAGGAGCCAUUGAUGGAUCCUUGCCUCACGCUGCAACGAGGCGUCUUCAAUCAAUGCCCCACUUUCUCUGUAUGUGUCUGUGUUGGCCACUGGAGCCUGAAGGGGGGCUGCUGAUGGCGGCGGCACUGGCCAAGGUGGCGGUGGUGGUGAUGCGAUGGCGGUGGCGCUGCUCACGUGCUUUCUGGCUUAGCUCCUGUUGUUUACUGAAAGACUCUCUUCGGUGACGGGUAUUCUUGGGUGGAUAAUACGGAUCACGUUGUUAUUGCUUAAGAAUACGCGUAGUCGAGGAGAGUCCUCUCUUCGCCCGACACCAGCAACACCCCCCCCCUCCCCCGACUCCCACCCACCCACCUCACCUCACCCCGACUCCCCCCCCCCCCACCCACGGAGGACUGUCAGGACGGGUGAAGCCACACCCCCAGUCUCCACCUCUUCUCUCAUCUCUGCAUUGCAAAGUUUUACUUCCUUGAGGUUGACCUCACGUACGUCUGUCCGUCCGUCUCUGUCUCUGUGGCGAUGGACCGCGCUGUGUUUCUGUGUGUGUGUCUGUUGGACGUGUUGCUUCGAGAUUGUUCGGGCUCACAGAGAAAACUUGUGAUCAUGUGACUCUCUGCAUGU
rnacentral:lncRNA from 1 species